AGGGGUAGCCACACCAUUCUGGUCCUGCCUGAUCUUGGAAGCUAAGCAAGGUCAAACCUGCUUAGUACUUGGAUGGGGUAUCACCUGGGAAUCCCAGGUGCUGUUCAGU
rnacentral:rRNA from 1 species